UUACCCUGACGUUGCCGUUUAACUAGGUUCUUAUCAGUGUGAAAACUGGUACUCUAGUCAAUGACUAGAGAAAUUUUCACAUGUAUUUUUACGCUCCGGGCUGGUUCGCGUUGCUUGCAACCGACCCCCAUAGAUGUUCGCGGUCUUGCACCACCGCCGCGCAACGUCGACCCCCA
rnacentral:snRNA from 1 species